ensembl:lncRNA
AAGGAAAGAGCCUGCUUAUAUUAACAUACAGUAUAUCAAAGGUAUCAUCCUAAUACUGGGAUACGCUGAGAAGAAACCAGACUAAUUGACUUAUUUUGUUUAAUAAACUUCCCCUGAAAUAUAUAUAUAUAUAUAUUAAAAAAAACCAGGAUCAUUCUGUUCCUCCUCACUCUGGUAAAGAGGUUUUUUGCUGUUAGUCCCUCGUGUGGUUGCUUAAGUCAGGUCUCACUGUAAUUACAUACCUCACAGCGGUGCAGGGAGACUUAAUUAAGAGAGUCACUGUAGGUGCGCUGUCAGAUACGACCCAGUCCUGUCGGGAAGGCGCUGGGAUGCGGCUGCAGCGGCUGUGUUCCAGCAGACAGCUCGAGUUUGCAGCGGGUUUUGCCAUCCUCCUGCAGAAAGCAGCACAGACACACCCAGCAGCCCGCAUGCAGAGCCCCUCCGCUCCACCAGCAGGGAGCCUGUGGUUUUCAGAAUCCCUCUGUGCUCACCAGGAGACGCUCUGCCACGCCACAGGAUUUCAUAUUCCCUCCCCCCCCCCCCCCCCCCCCCCCCCAGCUUCAAAAAGUGUGACUCACCAGUUUCAAACGGUGACAUUUCAUUCCCAACCUAUUCUGGGAGCAGCUGGCUUUGUAACACAUGGGGAUGCGGGGAGAAGGGAGGGGAGAGCCAGACUGAACGAAGCAAAAGCCGCUCACUCUCUCCCCCACGCAGGUAUGUCGCUUCUCCAUUUCAGAAGUACACAAUUUGGGAUGUGCUGGCAAAUUCCACUGCAGGAAAACAACACAGUGAGCACAUCACAGAGAAAGAUACCUGUACAAGCAGUGAUGCAAUCCGCUGUCAGUCAGGAGGGACUGCUCUCCACAUCCCAUAGACACGAGGAAGCGCACUGUCCCCGCUCCUCACCAGCUGAGCCCCGCAGGUCUGGAUUGCUCCUUCAAGCAGACUGCCUGUGAUGCAGACCCAGGCUUUAGUCAUCAGCAGCAUCUCACUAAUGAUGACCAAAUGUACGUGCAGUGGGGAAGAUGACAACAGGGGAAUGACAAAGAAAUCACUGUCAGCUCCCGGUCCCGAGAGGAGCUGCGUGUCACGCUGCAGAUUUGCAUGGCUCGUGUCCCCGCUGCGGGACGUCACCACCAUAAGCACAACACACAGCACGUGAGCACAGGGCUGCUGUGGGCGCUGGCCUUGCAGGCUCGUUGGCACACACAGCAUUGCUGUCAGCAGUGCAGUGCCAGAGGCAGGAGCACAACCUCUGCUGGCCUCAGCCCAUAAAUCCGCACCCAGCCGCCCAGCAGCGCUCCAACCCCAUUCAUUAACAGCUGUAAAAUUCCACGGGGAGGGAGCUGGGUGUGAUGCAACCCGAUGGGAGCGGGGUGCAGGUCUGCAGCAUGCGGCACAGCCGGGCGCCAGCACUGCUGGGAGCACUGAGCACAGCGACCCAAGGCGGCUGCUGGAGAGGGGUCUGGGGGGGCUCCAGCAGCACACGGUGCGAUGGCACACAGCACCGCACACCCUGCUGCGCCUCUCACUGCUCCUAACAGAGCCCCGUGCAUGUCUGCGCAGGAAGUGUUUGAUUACAAUUCCAUUCACCUCCUCUGCUGCCUUUAUAUGAGAGGGCUGUGCGCGUGGCUCCCAGCAGCAGCGUGGGACCUGGCAUGGCCACAUUCACUCCCAUUCUUUACCUGCAGAAGCCUCGCAGCGCUCAUUCAAGGAAGAGGAGGUGGCUCACUGCGUGGUGCUGGCAUGCAGCAGCAAUGACCUUGGCUAGGUAACUGUCUGCUGAAUACAUAAUGGAUGUAAAACCAGCAAUUCCUUAUUUAAGGAAACAAAAAAAUCAACCCAUCUGCUGCUAAGGUAAGGAAAGGCUGUGGUUUGUUAAAUAAAUGCAUCUGUCGGAGCUGGAUUUUGUUUUCCCAGCUUCCCUAAAUGCCCUUCACCAGCAGAGGGGGGGAGGGGACCUGCUCUUUGAAGCCUUUUCCUUAUGGGAAUAGAAAACACGGAAAGAAUUCAAUUCUCUGCCACAGCCCGGCAGCACCGAUCCACGCUUCAGGAGCCCCAGCCCGGCCACAGCUGGCUGGUGGGAGCUGGGAGCAGCACUGCCAGAUGAGCCUUGCCCAACAUCCAGCAUCGUUAAGUGUCGCCCAUAGCCUUAGUAGAGGAGAGGGAGGAAUGGAGACAGGGAAGAGAAACGCAGAAAUCCCGUGCAGAGCGCUGCAGUUGUUCCUAUCUUUGAUCAAAAGCACCAUCUAGUGAGGACAGGGAACACUGCGACUGACACCGCUCUGCCUCAGCCACAAACGGAAUGUGACCUCGGCCUGCAAAAAACGAGCAGCGCCCACCGUGCACUCUGCAAGAGCACCUUCAGAAAUUACCAUGCUCCGUGUUAAUUAUUUCUCCGGUGGAAAUGGGGUCUCUUCCUCGCAUCAGAGAACCUCAGCCUCCCUAAAGCCAGCCAGGCGUGCAGCACUACAGGAAGAGAAGGAUUUCCACGUUGCAAUUUGAGAACUAAAGCAAAGCGAAGGUGGGUGAGCAGCCCAAGGUCGUGCAGGAAGCUGGAGGCAGAUCCGGGAAUAGAGAGCAGCAGCCCUGCAUGCAGAGCAAUGCCUGAACAAUAGCACAGCAUUCGCCCUCUGCUGUCUUUAACUCUUUCCUACCUCACCAAAAAGCACACGAGGGGCUGAGCAGGCGCUCCUCUGCAUGUGUGCUUGCUGCCGUGCAGGAGCAGCCCGCAGACCUCACUGCUUGCAGCACACCAAGACACAGAGGUAAGGCAGCAGGGAUUGACAGGGUUGGAUAUCCUGAGAUCAGCAAGGCUGAUACUUCUAUACAGCAACCACAAUGAGAACCUCUGUAUGGGAACGGCACCCCAGCGUUGCCAUAUCUCCACCUGUGUGGGUGACAAAGCAUCACAGCCUCCCUCAGAGGCAUUCAGUUCAGUUUAAAUGGCUGUGGGAAGUUCUAUGAUUCUCAGCUGCAGGAGGGGAAGAUCUCAGUGCUGCCUCUUCCUCGGCAUUUGGGGUGGCUGCAGAAGUCAGGGGUUUGCAGCACAACCACAUAACGUAUCUGUAGGCACAGUAAGUCUGCACUUCUUCCAUAGUGAGCCUGGAAAUGCUGCAGUGCAGUGCCUGGAAAAGGCAAUAAUUACGAAUAACUGAAACCAAACCACAGAGAAAUGAACAAAAGAGAUUCAGGUGGUACAAAAACCUGUAGUGCAGUGAGCUGAACUGGAGCACAACUCUGCCAGAGAGGAGUGUGGGGGUACAGCCCGAGGCCCCCACUGAGAGCUCUCAGGGAGCUCAGAGCCCACGUGCCAAAGGGGCCACAUCAGAAGUGCCACCGGGGCAAAAAGCAAAGGGGGAAAAAAACCACGACCACCUUCUCGGGUCCACUGCCCAGAAGGGACACAGCCAUAGUAGGCUCUCCUAUCAACCCAAUCUAUGCAAAGUGGGAGGGGAGGAGGAGAGACUGCACUCUUACAGAGCCUGUGACAAGAAAUCUUUAAUCGUGCCACAGCUCUUUGAACGUUUACAUUUCCCAACCAAAGGCACUGUGAAAUUGGGAGCUCUCAGUUCAAACUGGUUCAUCGAUGUUUCCUCUGGAGGUUCUGUUAUCCUGCGAGGAUUUCUGCACGGGUUUUUGCUGCUGGGGAAAGCAUCCACAGCUCUUCUCCAAAGAGAAGCUGCACCCCACGAGCCUUGAAAAAGAGGUGCCAAAGAAGAGCCCGGAAGAACUAGAGCACAAAAUCGUUGCUCUAGAGAAUAGGGUUAAAAGGCUGAAGAUCCGCACUCAGCGAUGCUUGCAGCAAAGCAGAUGUGACCAAAGAAGUGCAAACAGUUCCGAGAGUUUGCAGAUAUUUUCCCUCUGAAAAAGAGCUCCCGCACUUCAGGGGGGCAACAAUAGAACAGCAGGAUGUUUGCUAAGGAAGCGUUCAAAUGCUAAAAGGAUUCCAACCCUCCGCAGUUCCAGGCUGACACAGCGAGAAAGAGAAGAAAAGAGCAGACAAUGAGUGCUAAUAAAAACAACAGGCGUCGUUUUAAAAGCCGACAGCAACCUUUAGCAGCCGGGCGGCACAGUCUGCAGAACAAAAGCCCCCCGUUCAGGACAGGCUCCUCUCUCACGUUUGAGGACAAAGGCGUGUUGACACGCGUUACUCACCUCACCAACGUGCAAUCCGUGAAUCAGCAGGUUGAAACCAAAGGUGAGCCCGUUGCUAAUGACAUAGAUCAGGUUCAUCUAAUAAAACAGAUCCCAAUCAAAGCAACAACAACAACAAAGAUCAAGACUUAUUCUAAUGAAUUUUCUUCUCUAAUUGCAAAUCUAGUCUGACUAACCCCCUGCUACCCGACUCUCCACUCAGCCACUACAGAGCAGUUGCUUCCAAUCAGCUUUGCCAGCACCUGCCAGUCUGGUGACACUGCCCAUUACCUGCUAACAUAAACGAGCUGGCAGACACCGGUAAGGUGCACGGGAGCCCGGAUGUACCUCUCAGGCAAUUACCGUCGUGUAAGAAAGACAACGCGUCAGUCUACACUUCAGCCACUGUGUGGCCCUGGAGAUAGAAAACCGUGUUACCUCCACCAGACCUCUUAGAAUGGGACUUUUUAGUAAGAUCCCAAAUUCUUUCUUUUCCCAGAACCACUGAUCCAUUACUGGGGACAAACACAGAUGUGAACUCAGGCUCCACUGUACUUUCAUUAUUGCAGAGGAACAAAACGCUGUGAUCGUACCGUCCUUCCAAUAGCUG